AGAGAUUCCGUAAUCGUGACCGUUCAUCAUACAUCGUGCGGUCAGAAAUCAUUUCAAAUUUUAAAAUUAAAUAUAAAUAGUACUUAACAAAAACUGACCGCACGAUGUACGAUGAACAAUCACGAUCACAUAAUCCUCAAGAAAAGGAUCCGGCGUCCUCGAAACACGCGGGAAGUUGAAUCAACUGGAUUGAGAUUUGAAUAGGCAUAGCAUUCAGCAAAAUUGGCCAGCAGGUCAUGAAUUGAAGUGAAUGUUGAACGUAUGCAUGGGUAUGGGCAUGUUGGGUAUGCCCAUGAUCAUGUAUUUGGCAUGCAUGGCAUGGGAAGCAAAUCUCGAAAGGGAAUCAAAAGAAAUUGCCCUCUCUCCUUCCACACCCGGCGAAAAAGCACCUCUGCUUACGUCACCUGUAUCUCUUGGGGAUUUUCACGGGCCCACCUCCUCCACCACUCCCCCCACCCUCUCCGCUCCUCUUUCUCUUACUCUCUCUCCUCCGACCCUUUACCCUUUAAUUUAAUUUCGAGUAAUGUUAUUCACAAAAGAUUUUUUUAUUUUAUCUUUUUAUACAUCUUUUUUAAUUUUAAGUUAUCGAAUUAAAUAACAACAACAACAACAACAACAACAAAGCCUUUUCCCACUAAGUGGGGUCGGCUAUAUGAAUCCUAGAACGCCAUUGCGCUCGGUUUUGUGUCAUAUCCUCCGUUAGAUUCAAGUACUCUAAGCCUUUUCUUAGAGUUUCUUCCAAAGUUUUCCUAAGUCUUCCUCUACCCCUUCGGUCCUGAACCUCUGUCCCGUAGUCACAUCUUCGAACCGGAGCGUCAGUCGGCCUUCUUUGCACAUGUCCAAAUCACCAGAACCGAUUUUUUCUCAUCUUUCCUUCAAUUUCGGCUACUCCUACUUUACCUCGGAUAUCCUCAUUCUCAAUCUUAUCCUUUCUCGUGUGCCCACACAUCCCACGAAGCAUCCUCAUCUCCGCUACACCCAUUUUGUGUACGUGUUGAUGUUUCACCGCCCAACAUUCUGUGCCAUACAACAUCGCUGGCCUUAUUGCCGUCCUAUAAAAUUUUCCCUUGAGCUUCAGUGGCCUACGACGGUCACACAACACACGCCGGAUGCACUCUUACACUUUCAUCCAUCCAGCUCGUAUUCUAUGGUUGAGAUCUCCAUCUAAUUCUCCGUUCUCUUGCGAGAUAGAUCCUAGGUAGCGAAAACAGUCGCUUUUUGUGAUCUUCACUAGAUUGCUCCGAUCAUUAGUGUGGAUAAGUAUAUAAAUGGAUAGAGAUAGGAAAGCAAACACAAGAUGUACGUGGUUCACCCAGAUUGGCUACGUCCGCGGAAUAGAAGAGUUCUCAUUAAUUGUGAAGGGUUUACACAAGUACAUAUGUUCAAGCUCUCCUUUAGUGAGUACAAGUGAAUGAUUUAGUACAAAUGACAUUAGAGUACAAAUGACAUUAGGAAAUAUUGUGGGAGAACGAUCUCGUAAUCACGAAACUUCUAAGUAUCGGAGUGUGGUAUCAUCUUGACUUGCCUUAUCUGUCGCAUAGGUAGAUGUGGCAGCUUCUCUGGAAGUACUCUUCCUCCAUCCAGGGGUGGUAUCUUUAACUGGUGAAGAUGCACAAGGUAAUGUAUCAAUUUCACUUGAAGCUUACUUGUAGUUUCAGGCUUGGUCAAGCGCGAUACAAACCAUGUAGUAGGAGUCCCCCAAGUCGCCGAGCUAGGGGAUCUGCUGAAAGAGGUGACAGACAAGGUAAGCAAUCAGAGCUCCGGCUGAUUGUUCACCUUCUCCCCAUCUUGCAGCAGCAUGAAGGAUAAAGAGAAGAAAAAUGAGAAGAGAUGAUAUGGAAUACUUUUGCUUUUGAAGAAGUAACUUUCCACAGUCUAAUUCUUGAACUGAGCUGGAGGGUUUUCUGGUUUCCUCCAGAGUAUAAGGCCGACUGAAGAAUUUGAGGGUCAAAACAAGUCCAUCUAAUCUAGAGUACGUUCGACCAUGCUGAUAUGGGAUACUUUUGCUUUUGACAGAGUAAUGGAUGUAUCGGCAUGUGUGCUGUUACGCUUGUCUCCACAUGCUUCCUUGUAUCCUUCGCACUUGCCCUAUCUGUCCCUCGAGCAGAUGCGGUAUCUUCCCUGGACGCAUAAGAUGUUGAAGAUGAGUACUCGAGAACAAUGCCAGGUAAGUAAUCAGGUAAGGGGUUCCAGGCAGUCAGUUCCUGGCUGGUAACUUGAUUUCAAGUGCUGACUGAUUGCUCUCUUUCUCCUUGUCUUGCAGGUAAAAACGAGGCCAAAGGAAAAGACAGGGAAAAAGCAUGAUAUGGGAUACUCUUGCUUUUAACCCUGAUGAUAUGAGAUAUUCUUGCUCUAGUAUAGCUUGUUUGCAGAGGUAUUAUCGGGGGGAAAGAAAGCUGAAUAUUUCGAAAGGCUUCGUUGGGAGUGCCCUCUCAUAUAUGAGGAAGGGUUGAGCAUUUUUGCAAGUCUGCCUGUCCGUUGGGGAUGGAGGUCGACAUAUAUAGGAGUCUCCCUAACAAAAAGUAGUAAUGCUAUUCCUUUACCCUGCUUGGUCAUAGCACGGUAGUGGGAGCUGCCAGCUUCACAUGUUUUAACUCUGUCAGAGCACUUUGAAAAAGUGGUAUGUGGUAUGUGGUAUCUGGCUCUCGAGAUUCGGAGAACGAUGCUUCUUCGAUUUUUGAGAAAGCAAUCAUGCUGGGGGUCUGGCGCUCGAGAUUCGGGGAGCAAUGUCUCUUCGAUUUUUGAGAAAGUAAUCAUGUUGGGAGUCUGGCUCUCGAGAUUCGGAGGACGGUGCCUCUUCGAUUUUGGAGUAAGCAAUCUUGUUGGGAGUGUUUUCUCGGAUGUGAGUAAAGGUUGGGCAUGUUUGCUAGUCUACCUUGCCACGAAGCACGAAGGUUGACACACAGGGACUUCAAUUAUCCAACAGUGGUACUGUUCCUUUACCCUUGUGGGUAAUAAUAUGUUAGCUAGACCUUCAAAAUUUAUGUGUCUAAACUUUGUUAGUGCAGUUUUUUUUGCUAUUCUUUUACCUUUCUUGGUCAGAGCGAUGUAGUGGGAGCUACAAGCUUCACAUGCUCAACUUUGGAAAAGACUUUGGCAAAGUUAUCUGUGGUACCCAUGAGCUAUUGUUGCGUGUGGGAAGUGGGUGAUUGAACAGUAAGAUUCAUAUGUUUUCUACUUCACCAGAAGUCUUCGACAGAAUGCCCAUAAUUUCCGCAAAGCUGAGUGUGCUUGUGACAGGUGCUCACAAGCCUAGAAAAGUAGGUGCCUCUUCAAUUUCUGAGAUCGGCCCUCGUGGUCUCUGAGCAGCCCAGCUUUUGAGAAAGCGAGCGCCUCUUCGAUUGAUUCGAAGAACGAUGCCUCUUCGAUUUUUGAGAAAGCAUCAUGCUGGGGGUCUGGCUCUCGAGAUUCGGGGAGCAGUGUCUCUUCGAUUUUUGAGAAAGUAAUCAUGUUGGGAGUCUGGCUCUCGAGAUUCGGAGGACGGUGCCUCUUCGAUUUUGGAGCAAGCAAUUUUAUUGGGAGUGUUUUCUCGAAUGUGAGUAAAGGUUGGGCAUGUUUGCUAGUCUACCUUGCCACGAGGCACAGAGGUUGACACACAGGGACUUUCCAAUUAUCCAGCAGUGGUAUUGUUCCUUUACCCUUGUGGGUAAUAAUAUGGUAGCUAGACCUUCAAAAUUUAUGGGUCUAAACUUUGUUAGUGCUGUUUCUUUGCUAUUCUUUUACCUUUCUUGGUCAGAGCGAUGUAGUGGGAGCUGCAAGCUUCACGUGCUCAACUUUGGCAGAGGACUUUGGCAAAGUUAUCUGUGGUACCCAUGAGCUAUUGUUGCGUGUAGGGAAGUGGGUGAUUAGAACAGUAAGAUUCAUGUGUUUUUCUACUUCCCCAGAAGUCUUCGACAGAAUGCCCAUAAUUUCCGCAACGCUGAGUGUGCGUGUGACAGGUGCUGACAAGGCUGGAAAAAGUAGGUGCCUCUUCGAUUUCUGAGAUCGGCCCUCGUGGUCUCUGAGGGAGCCCAGCUUUUGAGGAAAGCGAACGCCCCUCUUCGAUUUCUGAGAUCGGCCUUUCGUGGUCUUUGAGCAGCCCAACUUUUGAGAAAGCAAACGCCUCUUCGAUUUAUGAGAUCAACCCUCGUGAUCUCUAAGCAGCCCAGCUUUUGAGAAAGCAAACGCCUCUUCGAUUUCUGAGCAGGCGCCUCUUCGAUUUCUGAAGCUCCGUCGAGUGCAGAUUUUUAUAGGGCUGGCAUUAAGUUCCAAAGCACACUUGAAUCUCCACCAGUAGAAGCUUCCAUUCUUGCACUUCUAAGAUCUUGAUUUGUCCGACCUCUUCUCUCUUCAACACCUUUGAAAAUGUCUGGCCCCUCCGACCGUCGUUUUGACUUGAACCUUGUUGAAGAGGCAGCCCCGCCUUCUCCAGACAACAUAUGGCGCCCAUCCUUCGUCUCCCCUACUGGUCCUCUUACCGUUGGGGAUUCCGUGAUGAAGAAUGAUAUGACCGCUGCGGUGGUGGCCAGGAACCUUCUCACUCCCAAAGAUAACAGACUACUUUCCAAACGGUCUGAUGAGUUAGCUGUUAAGGAUUCGCUGGCUCUCAGUGUUCAGUGUGUGCAGGUUCUGUGUCUAAUAUGGCCCAACGCCUAUUUGCUCGAACCCGCCAAGUUGAAUCAUUGGCGGCUGAAGUGAUGAGUCUCAAACAGGAGAUUAGAGGGCUCAAGCAUGAGAAUAAACAGUUGCACCGGCUCGCACAUGACUAUGCUACAAACAUGAAGAGGAAGCUUGACCAGAUGAAGGAAACUGAUGGUCAGGUUUUACUUGAUCAUCAGAGAUUUGUGGGUUUGUUCCAAAGGCAUUUAUUGCCUUCGUCUUCUGGGGCUGUACCGCGUAAUGAAGCUCCAAAUGAUCAACCUCUGAUGCCUCCUCCUUCUAGGGUUCUGUCCAGUACUGAGGCUCCGAAAUGAUUCCCCCUCCGGUGCCUUCUCUUUCUGGGGCUCUACCGACUGCUGAGACUUCUCCUAAGCAACCUUUGUGAAGGCUCCCUCUUGUUGUGUUUAUUUUGACUCAUGUAUAUGUACAUAUUUGUAGCUUAUCGGGGAUAUCAAUAAAUAAGCUUUCCUUCAUUUCAACGUAUUGUGUUAAAUACACCAAAGCCUUCUUCGCUAAGUUCUUUUGAAUUUUCUUUUUGUUGGAAGCUUUGUGAGUGGAGCAUGUAGGUUGAGGUAGUGUUCCCUUAAUUUCCCGAGUGAGGAAAACUUCUCGGUUGGAGACUUGGAAAAUCCAAGUCACUGAGUGGGAUCGGCUAUAUGAAUCUUAGAACGCCAUUGUGCUUCGGUCCUGUGUCAUGUCCUUCGUUAGAUCCAAGUACUCUAAGUCUUUUCUUAGAGUCUCUUCCAAAGUUUUCCUAGGUCUUCCUCUACCCCUUCGGCCCUGAACCUCUGUCCCAUAGUCGCAUCUUCUAAUCGGAGCGUCAGUAGGCCUUCUUUGCACAUGUCCAAACCACCGUAACCGAUUUUUCUCUCAUCUUUCCUUCAAUUUCGGCUACUC
rnacentral:lncRNA from 1 species